rnacentral:rRNA from 1 species
AAUGGGCGCAAGCCUGAUGCAGCGACGCCGCGUGAGGGAUGACGGCCUUCGGGUUGUAAACCUCUUUCACCAGGGACGAAGCGAAAGUGACGGUACCUGGAGAAGAAACACCGGCCAACUACGUGCCAGCAGCCGCGGUAAUACGUAGGGUGCGAUCGUUGUCCGGNAUUACUGGGCGUAAAGAGCUCGUAGGCGGUUUGUCGCGUCGUUCGUGAAAACUUGGGGCUUAACUCCAAGCGUGCGGGCGAUACGGGCAGACUUGAGUACUACAAGGGAGACUGGAAUUCAUGGUGUAGCGGUGAAAUGCGCAGAUAUCAGGAGGAACACCGGUGGCGAAGGCGGGUCUCUGGGUAGUAACUGACGCUGAGGAGCGAAAGCGUGGGUAGCGAA